rnacentral:rRNA from 1 species
UGCAAGUCGAACGGUAAGGCCCCUUCGGGGGUACACGAGUGGCGAACGGGUGAGUAACACGUGAGCAACCUGCCCUUGACUCUGGAAUAACAGUUGGAAACAGCUGCUAAUACCGGAUAUGACUUCGCACAUCAUUGUGUGGGGUGGAAAGCCUUGGCGGUCAGGGAUGGGCUCGCGGCCUAUCAGCUUGUUGGUGAGGUAACGGCUCACCAAGGCUUCGACGGGUAGCCGGCCUGAGAGGGCGACCGGCCACACUGGGACUGAGAUACGGCCCAGACUCCUACGGGAGGCAGCAGUGGGGAAUAUUGCACAAUGGGCGAAAGCCUGAUGCAGCAACGCCGCGUGCGGGAUGACGGCCUUCGGGUUGUAAACCGCUUUCACCUGUGACGAAGCGAAAGUGACGGUAGCAGGAGAAGAAGGACCGGCUAACUACGUGCCAGCAGCCGCGGUGAUACGUAGGGUCCAAGCGUUGUCCGGAAUUAUUGGGCGUAAAGGGCUUGUAGGCGGUCCGUCGCGUCAGAAGUGAGAACUCAGGGCUUAACCCUGAGCCUGCUUUUGAUACGGGCGGACUAGAGGGAUGCAGGGGAGAACGGAAUUCCUGGUGGAGCGGUGGAAUGCGCAGAUAUCAGGAGGAACACCGGUGGCGAAGGCGGUUCUCUGGGCAUUACCUGACGCUGAGAAGCGAAAGCGUGGGGAGCAAACAGGCUUAGAUACCCUGGUAGUCCACGCCGUAAACGGUGGGCACUAGGUGUGGGGGACAUUCCACGUUCUCCGUGCCGAAGCUAACGCAUUAAGUGCCCCGCCUGGGGAGUACGGCCGCAAGGCUAAAACUCAAAGGAAUUGACGGGGGCCCGCACAAGCGGCGGAGCAUGCGGAUUAAUUCGAUGCAACGCGAAGAACCUUACCUGGGUUUGACAUAU